GACAGUGUGGCAUAGUGGUUUGAGUUUUGGACUACGACUCUGGACACCAGGGUUCAAUGCCCAGCUUAGCCA